GCCUGGGUAGUGUAAUUGGCAACAUGCACACAACUUGAGCCUUGUUUGGACUACUUGUACUAACAUUUGCGCCACUUGGGGCAUUUUGGAUAGGCGGCAGGAGAGGCAUUUGGACGUGUGUGAUCUGAGUUCGAGCCUCAGUCUGGGCA